UAGGAAGUGGUGUAUUGGAGGCACUGAGAGUUUUGAUCUCUCCAGGUAGGGUUCAAAUCCCUUCUUUCUAA
rnacentral:tRNA from 1 species